rnacentral:lncRNA from 1 species
AUCAUUCCUGUACCCGGUUAAAUGCUCAACCUGUCUGGUUCACUCCAGACUUCUGUUAGCCUGAUUGAAUCAGCGUUAUUACAUCUUUCUUUCUUUUAGCACAUUUGCAGAUUGUAUAUACUUGUGUAGUCCAAAUGAAUUAAUCGGAAGAUGGAUAUGUUCAUAUUUCAUAAUGCAAAAGGAGAGUUAAUAAACACAGUAUUGCAACUAUGUAACAGCAGUGAAUCCUAGUGUCAAAAAAAAAAAAAAAAAAAAAAAAAAAAAAACAAAGCAAUGAACCGUUUUUCUGGUAUGGUUUGAAACUUCAUUAUCAACGUAUUGCACAACCUGACUUGCUAUUAGUAAUCAUAUCCAGAACAUUCAUUAACCACUAGAUGCGACUAACGAUAACACCCAAACCAGGGAUAUAAAUCCAGAAGAAAACAACAAGAACAAGGAAAUUAGGGGAGAAAUCGCUUGUUUAUAGAAAGUGAAGGUUCUGAUACCGAAAAGUAGACAUGCAGCUAUAUAAGAGUCUGAGACCAUAUGAUGGUAAUUACAUCUUAUCCUUAACACACCCAAACCUAAAUAUUAUAUUGAUAAUCUAAUGCAUAUGCAUAACUCUCCCAAAUAGUUGAUAUAUAAAGUAACAUAUAACAGCUGUGAAGAAUCCACUGAAGACCCAUGCCCAUGGUUUGCCAGAUAAAACUUGCUCUCAGUCUCCAGAUCUGGUACCCAAUUGCCAAUUGACGUUCUUGGCAACAAAACUGUCAUGCGUGCAAACAGAGAAACAAUGUGGGGGCACUGAGUGCAAACAGGGGUGCUAGCAGCAUCCAAGGGGUGGUAGCUGGAAAUAGUGUGGUUGUUGGUAGCAGUAUCAAUGGCCCUGCAGCUAGCAACGAGAACACUAUUUCAGCCGGGAAUUUGAUUGCUGGUUCAGCUAUUGGUAUUGGAAACAAUGUCGCCGCUGGUAUUAGUGUUAAUGGACCUGCAGCUAGUAGUGAGAACAAUGUCUCAGCCUGUAGUGUUAACAAUGUGAAUGGUGGUUCAAGUGGUGUAAUAGGCGGGAUUGCGGGAAUAGCAUGUCGGUAAAUGGUGUUGCGAUGCAGCCGAAGAAUCGUGGAGGUGUGGAUCGAUACUGAGCAACACCAUUUACACCGAUUCUCUUGGAGAGUUAUUCUGCAGAUGUAUAAGAAGUUAAAUGAAAUUUCUUAUCACCUUCACACAUAAUCUACUGUAAUUCUUAUCAUCAUCACACACAAUUCCUUUUUCACAAUUACACAUCUACUGUAAUUCUUGUCAUCAUCACGCACAAUUCCUUUUUCACAAUUACACACAAUCUACUAUAAUUUCUUUGGGUAGGGUUCUUUGGGUAGGCCCGGUCACAAAUUUUCAAGUAACAGAUACGUCCUUCAAUAACAUAACUAAGAACAAAGGUCAAGGACAAUCCGAUAGAUGUAUAAUCUUCCACAGACGAGGAUCAUAAUACAACAAUAAGAGACAAAAUGUGCAUAAAACCCAAUACUAGCCUACCGCAAAAUAUAUUACGAAAAAGAAUGCAUAAAUAGCUCCCAAUUAUCUUAGAAAUAUAUAGAUCUAGUUUGCGUUAAGUGAACCGAAACCUGAUAUAGAUGAACAAAUGUGGUUUCUCAGUUACCUGAUUUGGGUCCAUAGCUUCCAGGUCUCUGAAGUCGUAUGACUCGUAUCUCUGUCGUAAGCCCUUUUCUGUCGCCUCUUCUCUCACUCUAAAACCCUUUCGUGAGGAAGCAGAGAAAGUGAAAAAUAAAGAGAGAGAAAAUGAAGAGACGCAGGAUGAAAAGCGUUUGAUGAAGCCUCUUUUUGGGCCUCAUUUUUUGGGCUUUGUAAUGUCAUGCCAUCGAUUUUUUUAUUUUUUUUGGAAUGAAAAGGUAUGUUUCUAUUAAUAAGGUAGAAGUAGAACGAGACAUUAGGUUUUUUUUUUUUGAUAAUGAAAAACUUCAUUAAGGGACAAGCCCAAAAAAGCCUAGCAACUGCUAAAGCCCAAACCAAAUACAUCAAAGUAGAAAGAAAGCUUUUCCUCUGAAUCAGAAUCGAGAUAGAACACGGAAAAUGGGAUAAUAGUUCACCCUAUGAAAAAAGGGGACAAUCGAGACAUUAGGUAAGGUAGAACGAGACCGACAUCAGACUCACCCUAUGAAAAAAAGGGACAAUAGUCAGUUCGGAUAGCAGCUAAACACAAAGUAACAAGUACCCAAAUCUUGUAACCACAUCACCUUUAACCUCUGCUUCCAAAACAACUCUUCUAAGUAAAGCCGAGAUUGGAGGUUAGUAAACAAUGCACACUUAUCUUCUUGUUAAGAAGCAGAAAUAGGUUCUCCCAAGCUCUUCAAGUCGAUUACAAAUCACCAUCAUCUUAAGUUUUCGCCCACAUUUAAGAGUGAUGGAUUUCGAGUGUUCAAGCUGGAGUUUAAUAAAGGUGCUCGAUGGGUAGAGGUUGAUGACUUUGGGGAUCAAAUUUUGUUUAUGGGCAGGGCCGCCUGCAAAUUCAUGCCUGCCUUGUGCAACAAUAAAGCAGUCCUAACUAGAAACUGCAUCUAUUUUGCUUUCGAUAAUCCUUGUUCUUCGGCAACCGUGUCGUCAAGCAGACGUGAUUUUGGAGUCUUUUCGUUGACAAACAAGACAAUUGAUCAGUAUGCUUUCCCGGAAGAUCAUUCCUGUACCCGAUUAAAUACUCAACCUGUCUGGUUCACUCCAGACUUCUAUCAGCCUGAUUGAAUCAGCUUCUUUAUGAUUAUCUUUCAGCACAUUUGCAGGUUGUAUAUACUUUGUCUAGUCCAAAUGAAUUAAUCGGAAGAUGGAUCUGUUCAUUUAUGCAAAAGGAGAGUUGUGAGUAUUGCAAUUUUUUAACAGCAAUGAAUCCCUUGUGUCUGGUAUGAAUUGCAACUUCCUGAAUCAACGUUUGGCACAGUGACUUGCCAAGUCUUUGUGGAGAAAUUUUUCAGUGCUACGGGAGGACCACGUGGCAGUCUGACGUGGUCCUACUUUCUAAUCAAAUUUAGACAUGUAGAUUUUCUUCCCGAAAAAUUAUUUCAGCUAUUUUGUCAAAGACCAUUUUAGGUUUUCUGUUGUUUUUUUAAUACUAAACCCUAAGCCCUAAACCCCAAACCCUAAACCCUAUACCCUAAUCCCUAAUCCCUAAACCCUAUACCCUAAACCCUAACCCUAAACUUUAAACCCUAUACCCUAGACCCUAGUUUGAACUUGCUAAAUACCCAUGAAUGUCAUUUCACAAAAAAUAGAAAAUAUUUGUUUAUAUUUUAGUUGUAAUCCACAUGUUUAAAUUUGAUUGGAACAUAGAACCACGUCACACUGUCACAUGGUCCUCCCGUAGCAUUUAAAAAUUUCUCAGUCUUUGUGUCCCUUCUUGAAUUUUGGACUAAUUUCUAGUUUUGUUUUCGUCCUGUUUAGGGUUAUUCAUUAACUUUCUUUCUACAUAUUAGUAAGGAAUCGUAUCCAGAACAUUCAUUAACC